GACGAACGCUGGCGGCGUGCUUAACACAUGCCAGUCGAACGGAAAGGCCUCUUUCGGGGGGUACUCGAGUGGCGAACGGGUGAGUAACACGUGAGUAACCUGCCCUUGACUUUGGGAUAACUUCAGGAAACUGGGGCUAAUACCGGAUAGGAGCUCCUGCUGCAUGGUGGGGGUUGGAAAGUUUCGGCGGUUGGGGAUGGACUCGCGGCUUAUCAGCUUGUUGGUGGGGUAGUGGCUUACCAAGGCUUUGACGGGUAGCCGGCCUGAGAGGGUGACCGGCCACAUUGGGACUGAGAUACGGCCCAGACUCCUACGGGAGGCAGCAGGGGGGAAUAUUGCACAAUGGGUGGAAGCCUGAUGCAGCAACGCCGUGUGCGGGAUGACGGCCUUCGGGUUGUAAACCGCUUUCGCUCAUGACGAAGCUUUGUGUGACGGUAGUGGGUAAAGAAGCACCGGCUAACUACGUG
rnacentral:rRNA from 1 species